CAAUAGAUUACACAUACAGGUGUCUCAACAUAUCCAUUGGGACAAAAAGGGAAUCCCAGCUCCAUUUUUUAAAUGGAGAAAAGGGAACGGUACCGCCGCUGUAUUCGGUGACGAACGUUGCAGAAGCCACUAUCCUGAUUUAGUAAUUUAUCGCAGAGGACGCCGAGAGCACAGAGAAAAAAGACAAAAAAUAAUUAAUCUCUGCGUACUCUGUAUUCUGUGGUGAUUUAAAAAGGAUGGGAAGGUGCAAUCAGUAGGACGAACCGCCAGUCAGAAAACCUGCCUGUAAUAUUUUGCCGAA
rnacentral:ncRNA from 2 species